GAAAUGCGAUAAGUAAUGUGAAUUGCAGAAUUCAGUGAAUCAUCGAAUCUUUGAACGCACAUUGCGCCCCCUAGUAUUCUAGCGGGCAUGCCUGUUCGAGCGUCAUUUCAACCCUCAAGCCCUGCUUGGUGUUGGGGUCCUACGGCUGCCGUAGGCCCUGAAAGAAAGUGGCGGGCUCGCUACAACUCCGAGCGUAGUAGAUUCUAUCUCGCUAGGGAAGUGUAGAGUGCUCCUGCCGUUAAAGACCCAUCUUUAACCCAAGGUUGACCUCGGAUCAGGUAGGAAUACCCGCUGAACUUAA
rnacentral:misc_RNA from 1 species